AAUAGCUCAGUUGGUAGAGCGUCCGACUGUAGAUUGGUAGAUAUCGGAUGUUCCCUGGUUCGAUUCCGGUGUU
rnacentral:tRNA from 1 species